rnacentral:rRNA from 1 species
UACGUAGGGUGCAAGCGUUGUCCGGAAUUAUUGGGCGUAAAGAGCUCGUAGGCGGUCUGUCACGUCGGCUGUGAAAACCCGAGGCUCAACCUCGGGCCUGCAGUCGAUACGGGCAAACUAGAGUACUGCAGGGGAGACUGGAAUUCCUGGUGUAGCGGUGAAAUGCGCAGAUAUCAGGAGGAACACCGGUGGCGAAGGCGGUGCUCUGGGCCGGAACUGACGCUGAGGAGCGAAAGCGUGGGGAGCAAACAGG